rnacentral:rRNA from 1 species
GGUAGUCCACGCUGUAAACGAUGGGUGCUAGGUGUCGGGGGUAUCGACCCCUCCGGUGCCGUCGCUAACGCAAUAAGCACCCCGCCUGGGGACUACGGCCGCAAGGCUAAAACUCAAAGGAAUUGACGGGGGCCCGCACAAGCAGCGGAGCGUGUGGUUUAAUUCGAUGCAACGCGAAGAACCUUACCCGGACUUGACAUGUAGGUGGUACCGAGGCGAAAGCUGAGGGACCCGCAAGGGAGCCUGCGCAGGUGCUGCACGGCUGUCGUCAGCUCGUGCCGUGAGGUGUUGGGUUAAG